AUGGAUAAGAAAAGUGAACUCUUUAGCAAUAUGUCUUUUGUUAAUUGGAUCACAGUUGACUUAAAAAAAAUAGUUUUUUAGAUUAAAAUUUUGCACAGGUAUCUUGUGAACUAAAUCAGAUUCUGUUUGAAGCAAUCGUAUAUCUUUUCUAGGUGUCUGGGCAAGAACAGUUUCCUGGAGGACAAAGGAUCCUAACUAUUCCAAUUUGGCCCCCAAGUCUAGGCAUUUCACAGAGCUGUGUGUAUGAGGUACAACAGCAGCGACAAGAAGAAAACACAGGUGGAGAGAAAAAAGAAGCAAAACUGGAGCACACAGAAGAGAUCAUAAUAGCAGCUGAAAAG